GAUGAACGCUGGCGGCGUGCUUAACACAUGCAAGUCGAACGAACCUUCGGGUUAGUGGCGGACGGGUGAGUAACGCGUGAGAAUCUGCCCUCAGGAGGGGGACAACAGCUGGAAACGGCUGCUAAUACCCCAUAUGCCGCGAGGUGAAAUGAAUUUCGCCUGAGGAUGAGCUCGCGUCUGAUUAGCUAGUUGGUGUAGGUAAUGGCUCACCAAGGCAUCGAUCAGUAGCUGGUCUGAGAGGAUGAUCAGCCACACUGGGACUGAGACACGGCCCAGACUCCUACGGGAGGCAGCAGUGGGGAAUUUUCCGCAAUGGGCGAAAGCCUGACGGAGCAACGCCGCGUGAGGGAUGAAGGCCUCUGGGCUGUAAACCUCUUUUAUCAAGGAAGAAGAUCUGACGGUACUUGAGGGAUAAGCCACGGCUAAUUCCGUG
rnacentral:rRNA from 1 species